rnacentral:rRNA from 1 species
CCCUUAGAUGUUCUGGGCGGCCCGCGCACUACACUGGCACUCUCAAUCAGAGCCUGGAUCUAACACUUUGGGGUAUUCUAUGGAGUGGUGUCGUGACUGGGAUUAACCCUUGCAAUUAUUGGUUACGAACGAGGAAUUCCUUGUAAUCGCGGUUUAUCAGCCCGCGUUGAAUGCGUCCCUGCCCUUUGUACACACCGCCCGUCGCUCCUACCGAUGGAUCGUCCGGUGAAGCUCAUGGAGGGGCGGUUGUCUCAGCUGCCGUCGAAGUGAAAUGGACCUCACGAUCUAGAGGAAGGAGAAGUCGUAACA